AGAAGAAACCUCCGCAGUCCUAGAAAGUCCUUCGGAAGAGAUAGACGGGGAAAAUCCGGAAGAGAUUCUUAGAGAGGCACAGAGUUCUUCUCCACCAUGUGGCUUAGAAGCCCAAUUUCAAAAUGGUGACAGCGCAGAUUCUACCCACGAGUCGCAGUCUGAGGGAGAAGAAUCACACGUUGAAAUUCAGGACUUACAGAGAAAUUUUAACAGGCUGCGUUUAACACCGCCUGCCCAGGCUAUUAGAAUUCGGCCAUUACCUGCUAAAAGGACAAAAUUUAACAGGUACUCUGAAUUAACAAUGACUUUUCUUACCCCGUUCCAGCGAGGUAUUAAGAAAGCACAGGAAGCCGGGGAAGAUAUUAGCGGUUUUCAACUUUUUCCAGUUUUUGAACAGAUUAAUGAGCAAGAUCAGAGAGUUAGAGUUCAUGCUGUAAUCCCAUUUAAAACCAUUAAGGAACUAAAAAGUGCAUGCGAGACCUAUGGUCUGAAUACGCCUUUUGUACAGAGUCUAAUAGAUAAUAUCUGCUCGCAGCCCCUCCCACCUAGUGAUUGGAUUUCGUUAGCCAGAUCUUGUUUGAGUGGAGGAGAUUUCUUACUCUGGCGUUCUUAUUGGACUGAUUUUUGUACUGAACAGGCAGAAAAGAAUAGAAGACAAAAUUUACAGACUCCAGUAGAAAUGUUUUUAGGAACGGGUGAAUUUGCCGAUUUAGAAAGACAGUUAAAUUAUGAAUUUGUAGUAUAUGAUCAAAUAACUGAUUGUGCUAAAUGUGCCUGGAAGCAAAUAGUCUCUAAAGACCAAUCCAAUUUAGUUCUUACCAAAAUCAGGCAGGGUGCGAGUGAGCCGUACUCAGAUUUCGUAGCCUGAUUGUAUCAUACUACAAACAGGUCUAUCGGGGACCCGGGGGUGUGCGAAUUUAUUGUUAAGAAAUUGGCAUUUGAAAAUGCGAAUAAAUAUUGUCAAGACGUUCUUAGGCCGCACCGUAAAAAAGGGACAGUUUCUGAGUUUAUCCGCUUGUGUUCUGAGAUAGACUCUACUCAUUUGCAGACAGUAGCCCUAGCUGCGGCACUAAAGGAAACACUAAGGCCGCAAGAAUUAGUAUGAAAGCCCCGCGGGAGGUGCUAUGUUUGUGGGAGAAAUAACCAUUUUGCGCGCGAAUGUCGCAUGCGCAAUUUUAAGUUCAGGGCUCCAUGUACUGUUGAUAAUAGAUAUUGCAGGACUCAACCCCACGUGGCAGAUCAAGAUGGUGCGGAUGAGCCCACCUUCUUGUCAUCAUUUCCGCCUGGCCGGAACACAAACUUCCAUUCGGCCCUCCCCCGGGGCCGAGAAUGAGGAAGUAGGUGAUGGUUGUGCAAUGUGACGUCAUCGCGCCAACCAUGGGGGCCGCCAUCUUUAUUUUACCAGAGUGGAACAAACAGUUUCUGUACAAACCCCUAAUGAUUUUCAAGGCUUUUAAGAGAUAUUAAUUGGCUGAGGCCAUCCUUAAAACUAACUACUUCUGAUUUAAGUCCUUUAUUUCAGAUAUUACAAGGAAAUCCUUCUCCAACCUCUCCAUGUCAGCUAACCUUAGAGGCUAGAACAGCGUUAAAAAGAGUUGAAAAUGCAAUUAAAAAUGCACAGAUUACUAGAGUUGAUCCUAAAGAAAUAGUGUAUUUAUUAAUAUUUCCAACUGGGCAUACCCCAACAGGAGCCAUAUGGAAAAGAUUAGGAGUUAUUGAGUGGAUUUAUUUAUCCCACUCCCCUCAAAAAACAUUAAUUCCUUUCCAUGACUUUAUAGCUCAGUUAGUGAUUAAAGGUAGAACUAGGAUUUUACAAUUAAUUGGAUCUGAGCCUGAUAUCAUAAUUAUUCCAUUUUCUGUUCAACAGACUAAUUGGCUUUUUCAAACUUCUAGCUUAUGGCAGAUAGCUUUUGCUGAUUUUCCUGGCCAGAUAGAUAGCCAUUACCCUCGUGAUAAGAUUAUCCAAUUUGCAUCAUUAACGUCACUUAUUUUUCCAAAGAUUGUACAUGCACAUCCUAUAGAUGAAGCUUUAUCGGAGUUCACUGAUGGUUCAAGCUCAGGUAAAGCAGGUUUUUAUAGUCGUGUUCACACAGAGGUAAUGCAAACUUCUUAUACUUCUGCCCAAAGAGCAGAGCUUCAAGCUCUAAUUUGUGCCUUAAAUUACUUUUCAAAUGAGCCUAUUAAUAUUUAUUCUGACAGCUUAUAUGCAGCCGGAGUUACUAAAAAUAUUGAAACUUCAGUUAUUGGGUAUACUUUAUCACAAGAGUUAUUUGAAUUAUUUCAUAAUUUACAGAAGGCAGUGCUAAUGCAGAAAUACCCAUGUUUCAUAGGACACAUACAAGCUCAUACUAAUCUUCCAGGACCCUUUGUUUCAGGUAAUGACAAAAUUGAUAAAUUAGUAGCUUUUUGUCAACAGAUGUCUUCAUAUGACUGUGCACUAGCUUCCCAUUCCUUGCAUCAUUAAAAUGCUUCUAGCUUACGUAAAAAAUUUAAUAUUACCAGAGAACAAGCUCGUCAAAUUGUAAGCCAAUGUCCUAAGUGUGUUAUUCACACUCCAUCUCCACCAACAGGGGUAAAUCCCUGUGGAUUAAAACCAAAUCAAAUAUGGCAAAUGGAUGUAACUCAUAUUCCUCAAUUUGGUAAGCAAUGUUAUGUGCAUGUCAUAGUGGACACUUAUUCAAGAUUUAUUUUUGCCACAGCACGUACUAAGGAAAAUACUCAACAUGUAAUUUCUCAUUGCCUAACAGCUUUUUCUGUGUUAGGGUGCCCUAUGCAGAUUAAAACAGAUAAUGCUCCAGCUUAUGUAAGCUCUUCUUUUCAACAAUUUUGCCAAGAGUUUAAAAUUAAUCAUAAAACAGGAAUUCCUUAUAACCCCCAAGGUCAAGCCAUUGUGGAACGAGCUCAUUUAUCUAUUAAGCUCCAAUUACAAAAAUUAAAAGGGGGGAAUAGGGUUAUGACUCCCCAAAAUAGCCUCAAUCAUGCUUUGUUCAUUUUAAAUUUUUUAAACUGUGACGCAGAAGGUCACACUGCUGCUGAGAGGCAAAUGUCUCCCUCAGUAACAGGCCCUUUAGGCAGAGUUUUGUGGAAAGAUUUACAGACUGGUCAAUGGAAAGGCCCAGAUCCAGUGCUUAUGUGGGGCAGAGGUCAUGCUUUUAUCUUUCCAGAAAGUGCUUUUUGUCCUAUCUGGGUUCCUGAAUGCGCGAUCAGACAUGGAAGAGAUAGAACCGAGAUUCAAACGACUGAAGAUUGACCCGGAGGAGCCCCCAUCCAAAAGGAAGAGAUAUCGGAAAAAGAUGAAGAAAAACCAGAUUGACCCAGCCGAAAAGCUGAUUUCAUGGGAAGAUGUAAAGAAACUAACAACACAGGCUUCCCGAAUACUUCGACUCCUAGGAGAGAACAGGACCCCAGUGAUGAUGGUAGCAACAGUAAUUGCCCUGUUGGGCUGUCAGGUAAAGGGGGAUCAAGUAGACACUUACUGGACAUAUUUCCCAGAUCCACCCCUGGUACACCCAGCUGUGUGGACUGGAGAAUCUAUUCCAGUAUUUAGUAAUGACUCAUUCAUGAUGGGAGGAUUUACAGAUACUCAUAUUACUCCCAAUCAUGUGACUAGAUUUAAUUAUUCUGGCUACAGUGCCCAAUUACCUUUGUGUUGGUCCCACAAUAAACAUGCUGGCUGUCUGAAAGUAUCAUUCGAGGAAAAGACAGUGAUUGAUAGACCUAGACUGACAAAUAAUUCUAUUUAUGGAGACUUAAAACCUUAUACUAGAUCAAUAAUUAAGAUGGGACUUUCCCAUAACAAGCCAGUCAUUUCUGCAAAACCUCCAUGGAUACCCCACUGUCCAAAUAGUUCUACAAUUGAGAUUGGCACCUUUCCUAGAUGGAUGGAUUGUGUAAAUACUUUUCCUGUACAACACAAGGUGUCUAAAGAUAGUGGGUAUAUUUUAGACUGGUCUCCAAAAAUUGAUAAAAG
rnacentral:lncRNA from 1 species